AUUGAACGCUGGCGGCAGGCCUAACACAUGCAAGUCGAACGAGUGGCGGACGGGUGAGUAAUGUCUGGGAAACUGCCUGAUGGAGGGGGAUAACUACUGGAAACGGUAGCUAAUACCGCAUACCAUCGGAUGUGCCCAGAUGGGAUUAGCUAGUAGGUGGGGUAAAGGCUCACCUAGGCGACGAUCCCUAGCUGGGCUGAGAGGAUGACCCGCCAACCUGGAACUGGGACAAGGGUCCGACUCCUACCGGAGGCAGGCGUGGGGAAUAUUGCACAAUGGGCGCAAGCCUGAUGCAGCCAUGCCGCGUGUAUGAAGAAGGCCUUCGGGUUGUAAAGUACUUUCAGCGGGGAGGCGUUACCCGCAGAAGAAGCACCGGCUAACUCCGUGCCAGCAGCCGCGGUAAUAC
rnacentral:rRNA from 1 species